rnacentral:rRNA from 1 species
GAUGAACGCUGGCGGCGUGCCUAAUACAUGCAAGUCGAGCGAACAGACGAGGAGCUUGCUCCUCUGACGUUAGCGGCGGACGGGUGAGUAACACGUGGAUAACCUACCUAUAAGACUGGGAUAACUUCGGGAAACCGGAGCUAAUACCGGAUAAUAUAUUGAACCGCAUGGUUCAAUAGUGAAAGACGGUUUUGCUGUCACUUAUAGAUGGAUCCGCGCCGCAUUAGCUAGUUGGUAAGGUAACGGCUUACCAAGGCAACGAUGCGUAGCCGACCUGAGAGGGUGAUCGGCCACACUGGAACUGAGACACGGUCCAGACUCCUACGGGAGGCAGCAGUAGGGAAUCUUCCGCAAAGGGCGAAAGCCUGACGGGGCAAAGCCGCGUGAGUGAUGAAGGUCUUCGGAUCGUAAAACUCUGUUAUUAGGGAAGAACAAAUGUGUAAGUAACUAUGCACGUCUUGACGGUACCUAAUCAGAAAGCCACGGCUAACUACGUG